UUUGCCAAUUAAAAAUUCAAAAACAAACUUUAAAAAAGUUUCAGAACAUGAAGAUACAGACCGGAUUGUUAUGGGCUGUGUUUUGUGUCCCCUCAACACUUACAGUCCCCUUUAUCAUGACUAAAUUUGGAGGCAGAAUCCUUUAAAAGAGUAAUGAAGGUUAAAUGAGACCAUAAGGGUGGAGCUCCAAUCCAAUGUGACUGGUGUCUUAUAAGAAGAGAAAGAACCCAAGGAUGCACGUGCGCAGAGGAACAGCCAUGUGAGCACGUGGUAAGACAACAGCCAACUGCAUGCAAGGAGAGAGGCCUCGGAGAAACCAGCCCUGCCUGAUGAAGCUGAAUUAACAGGUCCUCCACUUCUUCCACCUUGGCUACCCCUGAGACAGCAAGACCACCCCCUCCUCUUCCUCCUCCUCCUCAGCCUGCACAACAUGAAGACGAUGAGGAUGAAGACCUUUACCAUGACUCACUUCCACUCAAUGAAUAGUAAAUGUAUUUUCUCUUCCUUAUGGUUUUCUUAACAUUUUCUUUUAUUUGGCUUACUUUAUUGUAAGAAUACAGUAUAUAAUUCCUAUAACAUGCAAAAUAUCUGCUAAUCAACUGUUAUU